CCUACGGGGGACAGCAGUGGGGAAUAUUGCACAAUGGGGGAAACCCUGAUGCAGCGACGCCGCGUGAGUGAAGAAGUAUCUCGGUACGUAAAGCUCUAUCAGCAGGGAAGAAAACGACGGUACCUGACUAAGAAGCCCCGGCUAACUACGUGCCAGCAGCCGCGGUAAUACGGAGGGGGCAAGCGUUAUCCGGAUUUACUGGGCGUAAAGGGGGCGUAGACGGCAGAACAAGUCUGGAGUGAAAUCCCGGGGCUUAACCCCGGAACUGCUUUGGAAACUGGGCGGCUGGAGUGCAGGAGGGGUAAGCGGAAUGCGUAGUGUAGCGGUGAAAUGCGUAGAUAUUAGGAGGAACACCGGUGGCGAAGGCGGCUUACUAGACUGUAACUGACGUUGAGGCUCGAAAGCGUGGGGAGCAAACAGGAUUAGAUACCCGAGUAGUC
rnacentral:rRNA from 1 species